UGCUCAGUAACACGUGGACAACCUACCCAAGAGUCAGGGAUAACCCCGGGAAACUGGGGAUAAUACCUGAUAGGCCAUGACAUCUGGAAUCGAGUUGUGGUUUAAACGUAAGGCUCUUGGAUGGGUCUGCGGCGGAUUAGGUUGUUGCCGGUGUAACGUACCAGCAAGCCUGUAAUCCGUACGGGUUGUGGGAGCAAGAGCCCGGAAAUGGAUUCUGAAACCCGAAUCCAGGCCCUACGGGGCGCAGCAGGCGCGAAAACUCUACAAUGCAGGCAACUGCGAUAGGGGAACAUCGAGUGGCAUCCACCAUGGAUGUCUGUCCAAUCGUCUAAAAAACGAUUGUCAGCAAGGGCCGGGCAAGACCGGUGCCAGCCGCCGCGGUAAUACCCGCGGCUCGAGUGGUGGCCGAUAUUAUUGAGUCUAAAAGGUCCCUANCCGGCUUUUCCAGUCCUAUGGGAAAUCCUGCGGCUUAACCGCUGGGCUUUUUUGGGAUACUACAUUGCUUGGGACUGGGAGAAGUAGGAGGUACUCAAGGGGUCGGGGGGAAUUUUUCCCCACCCCUUGGGGGAGACCAGGGGGGGAAGGGGUC
rnacentral:rRNA from 1 species